rnacentral:misc_RNA from 1 species
GAUGAAGAACGUAGCGAAAUGCGAUAAGUAAUGUGAAUUGCAGAAUUCAGUGAAUCAUCGAAUAUUUGAACGCACAUUGCGCCCUCUGGUAUUCCGGGGGGCAUGCCUGUUCGAGCGUCAUUAUAACCACUCAAGCUCUCGCUUGGUAUUGGGGCUCGCGGUUCCGCGGCCCCUAAAAUCAGUGGCGGUGCCUGUCGGCUCUACGCGUAGUAAUACUCCUCGCGAUUGAGUCCCNNUAGGUCUACUUGCCAGCAACCCCCAAUUUUUACAGGUUGACCUCGGAUCAGGUAGGGAUACCCGCUGAACUUAAGCAUAUCAAUAAGCGGAGGA